GUAAGAGUUAACGGACGGCCAGUAAAGUUUUCCUACCUCGACACGUCCAAGAUGGAUUUAGCAAAGCAAAAACUGAAAGAGCUCAUAAAAGAGGUGAGAAAGCUAACCCUCUGUGUAGAUGGCUGGAGCAAAAGGGGAUGAACUGCAUCUUUCAUGGGUGUGUCAGCUUGCUUUGACCUCCCACCUGGAGGCCAAGUCCACCAUGCUCUGCUGAACUUGCACCGAAUGGAGCCCCCACAUACCGGGGAGGCCAUCGCCGGCUGCAUUGAUCUGACACUGGAAGCGUGGGGUAUAGGGGAAGAGAACCGAUAACGGGGCCAACAUCGUCAAGGCAAUACGGCUUCUUCACAAUCGUAAACGAGCAGAAGAUAGAAACUUUUCUCAGGAUGAGCUGCUGCUGCAGAGAGCCAAGAAGAAACGUGGAUUGGGUCUGAAUCGGAGGAGUCGGACACAGAGAGUGAGGAAAGUGGAGAUCUAGUUUAAUCCACAAUCUCCAUCAUGCUGACACACUGAGGAACUUCUCUUGAUGACUUUUACCAGGAUGAUGGCGCCCUCUAGUGUUGAAGAAGAGUUUGUUAACAUGAAACCCAACCUGUAACCCUGAUGCUGCUCAGUGACAGGAGAAAUGAUGAGCUUCACUUCUUUAGCUGUUUUUCCUUGGAAUGAGAGACGGAGGAACAUGAUCUUUAUCUCACUGAUCAAAAACAACCUAAUCUCUUUGUAAUUAACAUGUUUUAUUUCAACAAAGCCAGAAAGAAACACAUAUUUUCUGCUAUGUUCUGGACAUUAAAACUAUUUUCUGAUGUUUCACAGACUGUUAUUCUUUUCUCAGUAGUUUUAUUGUUUGUUCAUCAAAUCACAGAAAAUACAGAAAAUAAGAGGAUAGAAGCUGAUCUGAAGCUGCUCUCAAACAUCUUAUUAACUCAUUGAAGUUUUCUGCCUCCAUUUAUUUGGUUUUGUCCAACGCUGCCAACAUAGUUGAGAAUAUCCAAUGAAUCUUUAAAAUGAGCGUCUCUGCUGCAGAAGCUGCUGCUUGUAGAGGUUUCUGUGUGCUUUGACAGGGUUUGCAGGGUUGUGUAUCUGCAUGGAGGUUUGCAGCACAGGAACAGGAGAACUUCCUCUCACCUUUCCUCUUCAUCCUGCAGGUCAGCAUCUAAACGGACUGAGCUUAUAUAAUGUCAUACUGACAACUCAAAGCUCUUUAACACUAGUUACAUUCACCCAUCCACACACACAUCACACACUAACACAGAUCUGACACUUUGACGUGUGGUGGAGGAAGCUGGAAUCAAAUAUUUAGUCUGACUUUUAAUAUUUUUAACAUAAAUUAUGAACUAAAUCAGAAUAAGUAUGAUGAGCCAAUUAUCUCUGGAUAAAAAUCACUAAUUGAAUUGAUAUUUGUUUGUAUUGACAGGUGAACUGAUCAGUUCCUGUAAUAAAUGCUUUCUUUCUGUAAUCUCUCUGCAGCAGUGGUGGAAGCAGAGGAUGUUCUUGAUGAAUGAAGGUGAAACCAAACAUCUGAUCUGAUCCAGCAUCACAUGAGACACUCUGAAGGAAAUGUUUCUGCUCUUUAGACGACAAAACUCACAAUUUAUUGUUAGAAUGAAAAGAAAACUUUCCACAUUUCUCUGGAAUCAAGUUGUUUUAUUGAAGAAAUCCAAAGAGACAGAACAGCAGACAUAUAUUUUUCUGAUCUAAAUCUAAAGGAUUCAGAAGAAAACAGCAUCAGUUCUAAGUUGAUGUUAGUUUCAGUUUUCUUCUUUGGAUCACAAUAAAGAAACCAGAAGCAAGUUCAGUUCACUUCAAUCUCAACUGAUUUAAACAAGAACAACAUUUGUUCUGCAGAACAGUGGAAGAGAAACCAGAAGAUCCAAAUACAUCAAUACAAAUAUGAAACCAGAACCAUUAGAGCCCAGAGAAGUUUAGAUUUUCAUGUGGAGAAAUAUUUCUGUGUCAAAUAAGAAUGAAAGAAAACAUCAGCAGUGAAAUCCUUUCUGGUUCCUGGAACACAGACACAGAGAACUACAUUUAAACAAGAACAAUGAAGAA